rnacentral:lncRNA from 1 species
GAACAAUACAAGUUAUCGACCUGGUCCCCCAGGGGAAGGUGCAGUAUGGAGGAUUCAGUGUUGGUCUUUGCUAGCAUUUAAUAGCUUGGGAACUCGAAGGAGUUGGUGUCCACAUUAGCACCAGUGAAGGGUACCUGCUGACGAAGCGCUGAAGUGAGAGGAGAAAGAGGCUGCCCGACAUUCACAGGACGGAGUGAUCAUUUCAUCAGCCUGAUUAUCACGAGCCUCCUCUGCAAAGGCUUAGGAGACCGAGGAGGUGUCGUCCUGGAUGUGGUCACAAGCCGGGGCCCCCUCGCAGCCCCAGCAUUCCCGGAUAUCAUAGCCUUCCCGCCUGAGCCUGCAAUCUCUGAAACUUUAGAAGGCUCCCGAUGAAUCUGCGAAAGCCCCCACUUCUAACCUUGGAGGCACCUGUGGAAGUGGGCUGGCUCCCGCUGGCGUGUCUGCGGUCCAAGCAGACAGGAAGAAGUGGGAACCGAUCCAGGGUUUCCUUGCAGCUCUGCCUCAGCAAGCCUUGCUCAGGGGGACAAGCGCCCCCUAGUGGCCCCUGUGGGAGGAUGACCCUGCGCUCAUCUGCG